AUCCAGAUGACAAGUCCCAGAUAGGACGAAAUGCACAUCAUGGAU
rnacentral:hammerhead_ribozyme from 1 species